rnacentral:rRNA from 1 species
CCCUUAGAUGUUCUGGGCCGCACGCGCGCUACACUGACGAAUGCAACGAGCUUAUAACCUUGGCCGAAAGGUCUGGGUAAUCUCCAAAUUUCGUCGUGAUGGGGAUAGAUUAUUGCAGUUAUUAAUCUUCAACGAGGAAUGCCUAGUAAGCGCAAGUCAUCAGCUUGCGUUGAUUACGUCCCUGCCCUUUGUACACACCGCCCGUCGCUCCUACCGAUUGAAUGGUCCGGUGAAGCGUUCGGACCGUGGCCUUUGGACGGUUCGCCGUCUGUUGGCUGCGGGAAGUUCGUUAAACCUUAUCAUUUAGAGGAAGGAGAANUCGUANCA